AGAGUUUGAUCCUGGCUCAGGACGAACGCUGGCGGUGUGCUUCACACAUGCAAGUCGAGCGAAUGAAGUAGGUAGCUUGCUACUUAUGGAUUUAGCGGCGGACGGGUGAGUAAUAUAUAGGAAUCUGCCUUAGAGCGGGGAACAACAGACCGAAAGGUUUGCUAAUGCCCCAUAGGUAUGCAGUCUUCGGAUUGUAUAUUAAAGGAGUAAUCCACUCUAAGAUGAGCCUGUAUCCGAUUAGCUAGUUGGCGGGGUAAAGGCCCACCAAGGCUACGAUCGGUAGUUGGUCUGAGAGGAUGAUCAGCCACGAUGGGACUGAGACACGGCCCAUACUCCUACGGGAGGCAGCAGUGGGGAAUUUUACACAAUGGGGGAAACCCUGAUGUAGCGACACCGCGUGAACGAAGAAGCCUUUUGGGGUGUAAAGUUCUGUCGGCUGGAACGAAAAAAAUGACGGUACCAGCAAAGGAAGCAUCGGCUAACUACGUGCCAGCAGCCGCGGUAAGACGUAGGAUGCAAGCGUUGUCCGGAUUUAUUGGGCGUAAAGAGUUCGUAGGCGGUUAUUUAAGUCUGAUGUUAAAUACUGUGGCCCAACCACAGAACUGCAUUGGAUACUGGAUGACUUGAGUGCGGUAGAGGCAAGUGGAAUUCCCAGUGUAGCGGUGAAAUGCGUAGA
rnacentral:rRNA from 1 species